rnacentral:rRNA from 1 species
AGUAAAAGUCGUAACAAGGUCUCCGUUGGUGAACCAGCGGAGGGAUCAUUACAGAGUUAUCCAACUCCCAAACCCAUGUGAACUUAUCUCUUUGUUGCCUCGGCGCAAGCUACCCGGGACCUCGCGCCCCGGGCGGCCCGCCGGCGGACAAACCAAAACUCUUGUUAUCUUAGUUGAUUAUCUGAGUGUCUUAUUUAAUAAGUCAAAACUUUCAACAACGGAUCUCUUGGUUCUGGCAUCGAUGAAGAACGCAGCGAAAUGCGAUAAGUAAUGUGAACUGCAGAAUUCAGUGAAUCAUCGAAUCUUUGAACGCACAUUGCGCCCAUUAGUAUUCUAGUGGGCAUGCCUGUUCGAGCGUCAUUUCAACCCCUAAGCACAGCUUAUUGUUGGGAACCUACGGCUUCGUAGUUCCUCAAAGACAUUGGCGGAGUGGCAGUGGUCCUCUGAGCGUAGUAAUCUUUUAUCUCGCUUCUGUUAGGUGCUGCCCCCCCGGCCGUAAAACCCCCAAUUUUUUCUGGUUGACCUCGGAUCAGGUAGGAAUACCCGCUGAACUUAAGCAUAUCAAUAAGCGGAGGAAAAGAAACCAACAGGGAUUGCCUCAGUAACG